UCCCUAUCUGCUGAUGGGAGAAUGCAAAGGACAAGCAAAGGGCACAAAUUUCCCCAACCAGAGACAAGCAAUCCAAUUAGUAAGAAGCUAAAAAUUACAGGGGAAAUGGGUUCCGAAAUCCGUAUCCAGACUAACAAAACGUCACAAAAGAUAAGGGUAUGUACCUGGCGUGAAUGAUCUUGACGCUGGUCUUCAUGUUGGGCUCUGACCAGUUGUAGGCGAUCGAGCCCGCGAUCCCGCUCAGCCACAGAGAAC
rnacentral:lncRNA from 1 species